rnacentral:rRNA from 1 species
CGGUUGAUCCUGCCGGACCCGACUGCUAUUUGGGUGAGGAUAAGCCAUGCGAGUUGAAUGGGAAACCUAAAAAUCCCAUGGCAAACUGCUCAGUAACACAUGAUCAACUUACCCUAUAGAGGAAAAUAACCUCGGGAAACUGAGGAUAAUGUUCCAUAGUUGAAUUGGCUUGGAAAAGUUUUUCAAUAAAAGGGAUAAGGAAAAUGGUUCUUAUCUGCUAUAGGAUAGGAUCGUGCUCGAUUAUGGUUGUUGGUGAGGUAAAGGCUCACCAAGCCGAUAAUCGAUAGGGGCCGUGAGAGCGGGAGCCCCGAGAUGGGUACUGAGACAACGACCCAGGCCUUACGAGGCGCAGCAGGCGCGAAACCUCCGCAAUACACGAAAGUGUGACGGGGUUACCCAAAGUGUUCUAUUUAGAACUGUGGUAGGUGAGUAAUGUUCCCUACUAGAAAGGAGAGGGCAAGGCUGGUGCCAGCCGCCGCGGUAAAACCAGCUCUUCAAGUGGUCGGGAUAAUUAUUGGGCUUAAAGUGUCCGUAGCCGGUUUAGUAAGUUCCUGGUAAAAUCGGGUAGCUUAACUAUCUAUAUGCUAGGAAUACUGCUAUACUAGAGGGCGGGAGAGGUCUGAGGUACUACAGGGGUAGGGGUGAAAUCUUAUAAUCCUUGUAGGACCACCAGUGGCGAAGGCGUCAGACUGGAACGCGCCUGACGGUGAGGGACGAAAGCCAGGGGAGCGAACCGGAUUAGAUACCCGGGUAGUCCUGNCCGUAAACGAUGCAUACUAGGUGAU